rnacentral:rRNA from 1 species
UACGUAGGGUGCGAGCGUUAAUCGGAAUUACUGGGCGUAAAGUGUGCGCAGGUGGCUUCGCAAGUCGAGUGUGAAAUCCCCGGGCUUAACCUGGGAAUUGCGCUCGAAACUACGGAGCUGGAGUAUGGCAGAGGGAGGUGGAAUUCCACGUGUAGCGGUGAAAUGCGUAGAGAUGUGGAGGAACACCAAUGGCGAAGGCAGCCUCCUGGGCCGAUACUGACGCUGAGGAGCGAAAGCGUGGGGAGCAAACAGG